rnacentral:tRNA from 1 species
GUCCCCGUAGCUCAACUGGAUAGAGCGUUGGCCUCCGAAGCCAGAGGUUGCUGGUUCGACCCCAGCCGGGGACG